rnacentral:rRNA from 1 species
GACGAACCGUGCGAACGUUGUUCGGAAUCACUGGGCUUAAAGGGCGCGUAGGCGGCAGACCAAGUCCGGGGUGAAAGCCCCCAGCUUAACUGGGGAAGUGCCUCGGAUACUGGAUUGCUCGAGGGAGGUAGGGGUCGAGGGAACUUCUGGUGGAGCGGUGAAAUGCGUUGAUAUCAGAAGGAACGCCGGUGGCGAAAGCGCUCGACUGGAUCUCUUCUGACGCUGAGGCGCGAAAGCUAGGGGAGCAAACGGG